GACGAACGCUGGCGGCGUGCUUAACACAUGCAAGUCGAACGGAAAGGCCCUGCUUUUGUGGGGUGCUCGAGUGGCGAACGGGUGAGUAACACGUGAGUAACCUGCCCUUGACUUUGGGAUAACUUCAGGAAACUGGGGCUAAUACCGGAUAGGAGCUCCUGCUGCAUGGGCGGGGUUGGAAAGUUUCGGCGGUUGGGGAUGGACUCGCGGCUUAUCAGUUUGUUGGUGGGGUAGUGGCUUACCAAAGCGUUGCCGGGUAGCCGGCCUGUGAGGGUGACCGGCCACAUUGGGACUGAGAUACGGCCCAGACUCCUACGGGGGGCAGCAGUGGGGAAUAUUGCACAAUGGGCGGAAGCCUGAUGCAGCAACGCCGCGUGCGGGAUGACGGCCUUAGGGUUGUAAACCGCUUUCGCCUGUGACGAAGCGUGAGUGACGGUAAUGGGUAAAGAAGCACCGGCUAACUACGUG
rnacentral:rRNA from 1 species